rnacentral:rRNA from 1 species
CAUAUGCUUGUCUCAAAGAUUAAGCCAUGCAUGUCUAUGUUUAAACAAUCUAAACGUGAAACUGCGCAUGGCUCAUUACAACAGCGAUCACCUACUUGAUUUUCACACUCACUACAUGGAUAACCGUAGUAAUUCUAGAGCUAAUACAUGCGCAAAGUCCCGACUCUCGCGGGGAGGGAUGUAUUUAUUAGAUAAAAAACCAAUGCGGGGGCAACCCCGGUCAUUGCGGUGAUUCAUAAUAACUGGUCGGAUCGCAUGGCCUCGUGCCGGCGACAUAUCAUACGGAUCUCUGCCCUAUCAGCUUUCGACGGUAGUGUAGUGGACUACCGUGGCGUUAACGGGUGACGGAGAAUUAGGGUUCGAUUCCGGAGAGGGAGCCUGAGACACGGCUACCACAUCCAAGGAAGGCAGCAGGCGCGCAAAUUAUCCAAUCCUGACACAGGGAGGUAGUGACAAGAAAUAACAAUACCGGGCCUCUUUCGAGGUCUGGUAAUUGGAAUGAGUACGAUCUAAAACCCCUAACGAGGAUCCAUUGGAGGGCAAGUCUGGUGCCAGCAGCCACGGUAAUUCCAGCUCCAAUAGCGUAUAUUUCAGUUGCUGCAGUUAAAAAGCUCGUAGUUGGAUUUCUGCGUCAACGACACCUGGUCCGGUCGCGACUUCGCGUCCGACUGAGUACCGCGCGUGUCGUUCGCAUCCUUCUGUGGUGACGUGUCUACCCUUCACUGGGCCGGGCAUCGUCGCUCAGACCGUUUACUUUGAAAAAAUUAGAGUGUUUAAAGCAGGCGUCGCCGCUCUGAAUACAUUAGCAUGGAAUAAUAGGAUAGGACUUGGGUUCUAUUUUGUUGGUUUCUAGGACCGAAGUAAUGAUUGAUAGGGACAGUUGGGGGUGCUGGUAUUCAGCGGCCAGAGGUGAAAUUCUUGGAUUCGCUGAAGACCAACUUAUGCGAAAGCAUUCACCAGGGAUGUCUUCUUUAAUCAAGAACGAAAGUUGGGGGAUCGAAGACGAUCAGAUACCGUCGUAGUCUCAACCAUAAACUAUGCCGACUAGGGAUGGGUGGACGUUGCUUUCUCGACUCCAUCCGCACCUUAUGAGAAAUCACAAGUGUUUGGGUUCCGGGGGGAGUAUGGUCGCAAGGCUGAAACUUAAAGGAAUUGACGGAAGGGCACUACCAGGCGUGGAACUUGCGGCUUAAUUUGACUCAACACGGGAAAACUUACCAGGUCCAGACACAGUAAGGAUUGACAGAUUGAAGUUCUUUCUUGAUUCUAUGGGUGGUGGUGC